UGACUUUUGUUCCUUAUUUCAAGGGCUUUCCAACCAUUACUCAUAUUACUUUUUUUGACUUUCCAUGUGUGAUUUUCGAAGAGCUCUUUCUUUAUGUUCAUUUUUGCAUUUCAUGGUGAAACUUAAUGUGCAAGACAUUUCCUUCCAAAUUGCACGUCCAUUUCCAUUUCAAUUGAUCUCAUCAUGGUUUAGCACCCAUCAUUGGGCC
rnacentral:lncRNA from 1 species